GGCUCUUGCAUGUUAAUGUAUCAGCCAACACCUCUCCUGUGCACCUAUGGCAGACAUCAUUAAUCCAUCAAGGCACUCUCCUGUUUAGCCCAGUCCCUGCUUCAGAGCUCUUCUCAGUAUUGUGACCCAGACAGCGGCUACCCAUCAACCAGACUGCCACACAGGACAGAAAUCUAGAUUAUUACAUAAUCCAUCUUGAGAAUUUAGAAGAAUAAUAUCGCCCUCGUGCCUGGCUUAUAUAGAAAAAGGGACAGCAAGAAGACAGAUAAAGUGGAGCACAGAAAGAAGGAUGAAAUGAAAAUUAUUUGUCUAUUUUAGACAAGCAAUUUUCUCUAAUGUUCU
rnacentral:lncRNA from 1 species